AUUUUUCUAGUACUAACUAGUAUGUGUGACUUCCAAUCACCCGGUCUUGGCUAAACUCCAAGGAAAAAUA
rnacentral:tRNA from 1 species